ensembl:snRNA U2 U2 spliceosomal RNA
AUCGCUUCUCGGCCUUUUGGCUAAGAUCAAGUGUAGUAUCUGUUCUUAUCAGUUUAAUAUCUGAUACGUCCCCUAUCCGGGGGGGGACUUUACAGUGUUUUGUCAUGGCAACCGGACAAGCUUUU